GAAACACGAUUAUUUCAGUGUAUUUACGGUUACUAUAAAAUAUGAAAGAUUAAUGAGUAUUGUAUGUUGUACAGUUUAUUCUAGUUUGUGUCGGCAACUGCUUGUCUGGGACUGGCGCAUUCUGAGUCGUAGUUUAUUGUAAUCCACCAAAGUUCUUUUUUCGACAGUACAGAUAGAUCAAGUAUCCCUGCUUAACCCUGCAAAGUGGAUUCCUCAAUCUGGGCUGUGAAUCCGCACAAUCAUCGAUGCUUUUCUAUCCAGGAUAGUGCCUAAUUUCAGAUAAAUUUAGCGGAGUUUCCAUCGUUCAACAAUGGAUUGGAGCUAUGUAAGAUAUAGGAACGGGAAUUUCUAUGUGGCGACAAGAUCUGGGGACACAGAAAUUGGUCCAUUCCACUGCGAGCAAGAUGCCGAAGAAUUCGCUUGCACCAGACAUGUUAAUUUCCUGACACAAUACUGGGGUUACGACCGCUUUGGCCGCAGCAAUAGGGACCUGCGCGGGGUAGUUUACGUCCACGGGAGAUGCUCAAACCAGCACAGCCAUAGCCUUCCGCGACGCGCUUGCUACGGGCUGUAAUGGGGCUGCAAUAAUUCUAUGACCGUCAAGAACACUACCGGCAGCCUAGCUGGGAGCCGAGGUCACCCUGGUGAUACUUCCAACCGGGCUGCGCUUUUCGGUGUGCUGGAGGCAGUGCGUGAGGCGACUUCUCAAGGGUUUAAUUCGCUGGUUAUCUGUUGCGCGAACACCUAUGCGUUGAAUUGUCCUGGAAAAUGGAUGAAAACCUGGCAGAUGAAUAACUGGAAAUCUAAACGAGGAAAAACUGUUAGAAACCGGGAUGUUCUUUGGAAAUUAAGUGCUGCCAUUGAUGCUUUUGGAGAACAAAAUAUUUUCUAUGAGCACGUCUGGGAUUGGAGUGACCAUGGAUUUCAACGAGCCAAAGCACUAGCCGAUUGGAACCCUUCCGCUGCGGCAAAGAAAUAUGUCUAGCUGGUGAGCUGUAAGGAAAUACUGUUAAUCGCAAAAUGAACGAUUUUUAUAGCGAUUUUUGCCUUUUGUCAUGCCUUCCAUGUGACAUUGUGACAUUAGGCUGCUGAUUGUGACUCUGUCAGAUCCAGACGAGUCGGUUUUCUGAUUUUUACUAGUUAUGGUUUGUUCUAAUUCUGAAUGACGUGUCCAGUGAUCUGUCUGGAAUCUCUGGAUGCACAUAUUCGGUAUGUUUCGAAGUGAAGUGAUAGUGUUCCCGGUGUCUCAUCAGGCGUCCUCUGUUUCUUUUUUAUUGUUUGUCUUGCAUCGGUUUUAGUCUUAAAAGUUACAAUGAUUA